AUGGAAGUUAGACGUGGCACCUCGAAGCCGAACGUUAGCUAGCUGGAUAUGUGACAACGACUGCUCUGAACUUUCCUCAUACAGAACAACAGUUUGGGAUGCUGAGCAGCAUGAUUACAUUGAAGAGACGUCUGGGCCACGACAGUGCGACAAUUUCCACGCCUUUUUCUAUCAGCAUUUGCUACGAGCCAGUAGAGGGAGUCCAAGACUUGAAUCUUGCUCCAACCUUUUGGCCUCAAAAAACUGAAGCUUUCUACAAGCUCUCUGUCUGAGCUGCGAGAGGUAGAUUCCCCCACCGUGUUCCAUCUCCAGCAUCAGCAGCUAGAGCACACAGCUUGCGUGUUGCGCUACGUGUCUGUAAUUCCCACCGACAACUGUGUUAAUGGAUGACAAUGGCGGAGAGGAGUGCGCCAUAUGUCCGAGCCUCGGGCAGCGCGUAGAAGGGCAAGGCACACAAAGACGAACCGAGGGGGGAGUUAAGGGCAGAGGAGAGAGAGAGAGUGGGGAGGAAAAAGAAACACGCUAGAGUAGAAAAGAAAGAUAGAAGAAGAAGAAGCAUUGGGAUAAGGAGACAUGUUAGUUUUCUCGUUCGCAUCCAAACUAUUUUCCUCCCUAAUUCUU